UCUGGUUCUGAGUGGAUCCAAGAGUCAUCAUGAUACAAUAUCUUUUCAAAAGAUGAUAGAUUAUCUUCAUGAAAGAAAGGAAGUUGGAGAAUUAUCAUUGAAGAGGAAUUCAGUGUCAUGUGUUUCUCAAGAGCUAAAAUGGAACAAGAAGUGCAAAACUGGAAAUUCUUUUUGUAAUACUAUUAAGCUCGUCAUGGUGGUUACCAUGAAUGAGUGUCUGGUUUAAUCUCUAGAAAAUUUCCCGAGGGAGGAAAAGGAGGUGCUGAAAGGGGAUGGGAGCAACAAGUAUAAAUCGAAGAGUGUUCUGCGACAACUCAAGUCACCUUCGUAAAUUCUGGAAGCCAACUGUUUUGACACCAGGCCAAGGAGAUAGAGUGCAUUAUUUAGUCAGUUACAAAAAUGCAGUAGCCAAAAACACUAACCAUUUUCCACAUAAAAAACCAUUAAUUACCGUUCCCUCUCCAUUUGCCUGGUACAUUCUAGUUAAUUUAGCAUCUCACCAGUUAUCUGAAUAAUACAUAAGCAUCUAGUACAAGGGCAUUUUUACCUUGGUACAUGACAUCUCAUCAGUUAUCUGAAUAAUAAAUAAGCAUGCAGUACAAGGGCACUUUUACCUUGGGACAUGGCCAGGGGUGUAUGUGGUACAUUUUUCCUGUCAUUAAGAAGUGCUGUUGAAGCCUCUUUCUUCUCACGGGCUUCACGACGCCUUUUAAGAAUAUCAUCUUUAUUGCGUGCAUAAUACUCUUUUUUCCUCUGCCUCUUCAAUUCUUCAAGGUAUGUUAUAAAUACAUACCGCAACUUAGCACAUAAGCAACAGCAAAACAGUAGCGCAAAGUAGGAACUGGUUGAUGAUAGUUACCCAAUGUCUGGUUGUUGCUUAUAUCCUGAAAUGGGGUGCAUGCCCCCGCACUAUUGGGAGAUGCCAUACGUUCGCCUUCAUGUGAAUAUUCAUGCCAUUAAAUUUUGAGAAGCAUGGAAACUGUGGAAAUUAAUCAUGAACACCACCAUCAGAUGCAAACAUAGUACACUGUCCUUUCUCUUGAUAUUGUGUUUCAGCAGAGUUCUACUUUGACAUUAAAAUCAAUUUUGAAUGGCAGAUCCCCUUACUGGACCACAUUAAGUUGUUGGCCCUGCUAUUUAACAUCCAUGGUGAUGCUGAUGAUGAUCUUGGCAGGGGUAAUGCUUUGAUUUCAUAGACAUGUUGCUUUGAUAGCUAGAGAACUAAUUUCUCAAGAGGACUUGAUUUAGUGUUCUUAUAAUAUUUUUUAGCUGGCGCUGUUUUUUUUCAUGGAUUUUUCCUGUCCACUACAUCAUAAAUCUGGUAAUAUAAAAGUAAUAUCUAUUUUUGAUUAUGUAAUGACCGACUGUUAUCUUGCUUCUUACUCAUGUAUCUUCAGAAUUAUGUAUCUGCCUGGGGUCUUGGCAUGUCCUUGAGCACGCAUCAGGUAUGUAUGUAUCUGUUGGUAUCUUAGUGCACUUUGUAGUUUCAGAGUAGCACUCUAUAAUUUGGCACAUGCUGACAUGCCUAUGAGUGUAUAUGUAUGUGCAUGUGUACUGGCCAUAGGCCCGAGCUGAAACUUAUUAUGAUUAAUUUGCUCGUUCUGUGAUGUGCGAUUACAUUAAUACCAUUGGCACCUUUGUAAAUUCUAUAAGCUAAAUCCAAUAUUGUAGGUGUUCUGCGACAACUCAAGUCACCUUCGUAAAUUCAAAAAGCCAAGGAGACAGGGUG